UGAGGGUCACGUCAAACUAGCGUCCUUGACAUUUUGUAGUUGAACUUGAAAAUCGCCAAUACUGAAACCACUAGAUCUAUUAAGAAAUGGAGACUUAAUAUUGACCAUUCCUGUGUGAAAUCUUUGCUAAUAAGUAGUUGUAGAGCAAGGUAAAAAAAAAACGAGCUAAAAUAAGUGAAUGUAGCCAAUGAGGCCCAAUGUAGCUUAUAGUUAAUACCUGCAUAUCGCUGUUGCUCCAUUCUCAACACAGACCUCAGUGACCGAACACGCUUGUAGUACAGCUCGUAUCUCACAAGGUGUUGCUGUGUUGUUAACUGCAGUAUAGCAACAGACAGAAAAUAUAAGAGUUUUUUUUGAUCUAAGUUUAUGUAUCAAAUAAGCAACGGAUGAAAUUUAGUAAAAGUACCAGCCACCAUAAUGAAGGAUAACAUAAUGUUGAUGGUGGAAGAAAAGACAUACAAGCUUCACACUACGCAACAAAAGACUAGAUUCCUUUUCUAGCUGUGUCUCGCAUAGUAAAAGCUAAAAGAUAAAUCACGCCUCACUAUUGCAAUGAGUCUUCCCAGUGAGCUUUGCGCAAUCAAGUUCGUCUGCCAACAGUCCAGCUACAUGAGUUCCCAAGGACGUGCUCAUAAGACGGUGCGCAAAAUGUUUAUAUGAUCCCAUAAUAGGCAGAUGGCAUAACUACCACAAAAAAUAUAUCCAAACGUAUCUAAACCACCAAUAACUCAGCAAGCAUGAGGUUUGGGGGAUAUGUCCUCGGACAGAAUAAAUCUCGCGCCCCAAGGGUAACAAUAACUUGGAGACCGACAGAAAGAAAACGCAAAUCAGGACUUCCUCCAAGAAACGGCCCCGCACCUUCAUGGACCUCAGGGAAGAGAACACCAGGCAGGAAGAGGCGGCAAAUAUUGCUUAAGACUGAUUUCUAUGGAAGCAAGUAACUAUAUCGCCCUGUGCUGAAAGUCACGGGAAGGAUACAAGUUUCUAAGUAUCCUAUGACAUACAGGUAGUUCUGUUUAAUGAUAAUGUCAUGUUUUUCUGUGUGCGUUUCUUAGUUUACAAUAAGGUGACAAAUAUCAAAAAUAUUUUUCUAUUAAACAAAGCUUAUAUUGAGUGCAUUUGUAUUAAUUUGUUUUGGAGCAGUCAUGUAAUUAAAUUUGUAAUAGGUCUGUGCGAUAAGAAAUAUUUUAUUGUCUUGUUCGGCGCUAUAUCAUGCUUUUAGCUUUCUGAAUGCGCUAUGAUCCUAUCACUUGUUUGGACCAGUUUAGAAUUGGAAAAAAAAAAGGGGGGGGGGUGAAUGAAGUAUGUGAAUGUUACCGUGAUCACUUUUUAAAUCCAUUUAUUAAACAAAGACGUUAAACAACCUAAAUGGAAACUCAAACUACCAAACUAACCACUGUGCUAGCGAAAUGCUUAUGAAAAUAGAAGGUUUUUAUAGUUAUCUAUUAUUACUUUCAAGCUAACUCUACACAAAGUAUAAAGGGGACUACUUAGCUUUUACCGCCACAUAAAUCAAGUACAAUUUCUUUCUUUUUUCGAUACCAAGAAAAAAUUUAUUUACCAUUUGUUAAUUUCUUUUUAUUGAUUCUUGUUUUAUCAGGUACAAUAGAUACUUGUGCGAGUUUUCAACAUCAUCCGCGAAUGGGUGUGGCUGAAAUAACGUUCUAGCUUUUUCCUUUUUUUUUUUCUCCAUUAGAUCUAGAAAGUUGAAAAAUGAUCCCCUCAUUGUUGGUAUGUCAAGGAGAAUUUACAGCGAAGUCAUUAACUAUUUUAUAGUUGUUGGUUUUUUUUUGUAAAACAUAUCUUAAAAUAGGACUAAUAUA